rnacentral:lncRNA from 1 species
CGGGUGAGGUCUUCCUUGCGGCCGAACUCACGGAUGUAGACCGGCUCCCGUAGGAGUCCGGAUGAAGUUUUCCUUGCUGUCAAAAUCACGGACGGAGCCUGGCUCCUAUAGGAGUCCGGGCGAGGUCUUCCUUGCUGUCGAACUCGCGGAUGGAUCCCGACUCCCGUAGGAGUCCGGGCGAAGUGACGGGGUUUCACCAACAGUUGUCAAAAAAAUGGAAGAGACUCGCGAGGGUCGACCCCGCCAAGAACUUCGACCGAGGGUAUUUUAUGCCCAACAACAGUCAAGGUAAACUGUCGAUGCACC